AGUGAAUAGAACCGGGUAGUCCUAGCCGUAAACGAUACUCGCUAGGUGUCGGCCACGGUGCGACCGUUGUCGGUGCCGUAGGGAAAGCCGUGAAGCGAGCCACCUGGGAAGUACGGCCGCAAGGCUGAAACUUAAAGGAAUUGGCGGGGGAGCACCACAACGGGUGGAGCUUGCGGUUUAAUUGGAUUCAACGCCGGAAAUCUUACCGGGACCGACAGCGAUAUGAAGGCCAGGCUGAAGACUUUGCCGGAUUAGCUGAGAGGUGGUGCAUGGCCGUCGUCAGUUCGUACUGUGAAAGCAUCCUGUUAAGUCAGGCAACGAGCGAGACCCACGCCCACAGUUGCCAGCGUACUCUCCGGAGUGACGGGUACACUGUGGGGACCGCCGCUGCUAAAGCGGAGG
rnacentral:rRNA from 1 species